CUAAAAAGUUCUAAAAGCACAAAGAUUUGGUCCUGGUCUUAUUGUCAGUUAUCUCUUGAUUUACACAUGCAAGUCUCAGCACACCCGUGAGGACGCCCUUCCCCCUUCUAUAGGACAAGGAGCUGAUAUCAGGCACAUCUACCGCCCACAACAUCUAGUCCGACCACACCCCCAAGGGUAUUCAGCAGUGAUAAACAUUGACCAUAAGCGACAGCUUGACUCAGUUAAAGAGAAGAGGGCCGGCCAACCCGGUGCCAGCCGCCGCGGCUAGACCCUAGGGCCCAAAUUGACAAAACUCGGCGUCAAUCGUGAUUAAAGUCUCCUAAAAUUAGAGUGGAACCUACUAUUAAGCCGUGAAAAGCAAUUUUUUUAGGGAAAAUCAGAAACGAAAGUUACUCUAAUGCACACUUGAACACACGACAACUGGGAAACAAACUGGGAUUA
rnacentral:rRNA from 1 species